rnacentral:rRNA from 1 species
UACGGAGGGGGCUAGCGUUGUUCGGAAUUACUGGGCGUAAAGCGCACGUAGGCGGCAUUGUAAGUUAGAGGUGAAAGCCUGGAGCUCAACUACACAAUUGCCUUCAAGACUGCAUCGCUUGAAUACAGGAGAGGUGAGUGGAAUUCCGAGUGUAGAGGUGAAAUUCGUAGAUAUUCGGAAGAACACCAGUGGCGAAGGCGGCUCACUGGACUGGUAUUGACGCUGAGGUGCGAAAGCGUGGGGAGCAAACAGG